rnacentral:lncRNA from 1 species
UGACUUUCGGCUCUGGAGGGACUUUCGGCCGCCGAAGGUGCCGCCGAACCUACCCUGUCCAGCCUUCCUUUGCAUGUUUUUGCAUGAUUGUUUUGAGGUAUUUUAGGGGGUUUUUGGGGGAUGUUUUAGAGUUAUGUUCAUGUAUGUUUGGUCCCUCAUUUGAGUCCACCUGUGUAGGUUCGGACCCGAGGAACCGAGGACCCCAGCAGUGAGUCAGUCACUUCAGAGUCAGUAGAGCUUCAGCCAGAGGUGAGUGGAAUAACUCUUAUGCUUUUAAAUAAAUAAAUCAGUUUUAGCAUGAUUCACGCAUCAUGAAUGCCAUGAGAUAAUAGGGUGUUGCAUUAGACUCACGAAUAUGUUGCAUUGCAUAUUAUGUUU